AAUCUCUUCUCUCUUCUCAGACAAACAGAGGCCCGAUGGGGCCAUGAACUCUGGCUGGGAUGUGAUUUUAUGGAAGCAGGAGUUGGUGAUCAUUUAUCAAAAGGAGCGAUCUGAAACGUUGCAUCUCAAUGGGGUGAUAGAAAACAGUGUGGCAGAAAUCCAUUUCUCUUAUCAGGGAGCCCCAAAAGAUGCUUCCAAGAAUUCAUGAGCAUUUAUAUCAGCAUUCUUCUACAAUCACAGGAGGAAGGGGAGAAGACAGGAGCUUGGAGGUUCAUCAAGUGGGAAAGCGAACUGAAUGCAGAAUUCUUCCCAUAGCGAGUCGUGUUAUCCACGCAAGCAGCCCCAUGGACAAGGGUGAGGCCCUACAGUGGUUACAACGGCGGACAGCACAGUGGGUCCAGACACACCACAGAUCAUUGCCAGCCCUGCGCGGGCAGCUACUUGGCCAUGUUCCUGGCCCUGAACCACACGGAUGAGCUGACCUUCACAUGUUAGCUAUUGUUUUCCAGAGAAAACUGGGCCUAUGCAUGUUGUACAGACAACAUGGAUUUAUGUCUGGUUUUGGAAAAAAUAAGUUCUAGCAUGCACUCUACUGAAAAUAGGCCGGUUGCCGGAGCUUCAGGUCUUUUCACUGUUGUGCUGUGAAAAACCGGAGCAAAUGAUAAGUUCUCAACUCUUUUGCUAUGGGCCAAAAAUGGAAGAUGUCUAUAAAAGCGCCUCCCCGAUAUAAGGAAGUGAUGCUGGUUCUAGGAAGAAGAGAAGACGGGCUUCCUAGAGGUUUCAGAUGUGCUAACUGCCACGUGCACGCAGGAGACCUUAACCUCUGUAGUUUUCAGCCGGAGGCAGCGACUAUCCACGGCACGUAGUAAUCAGAGAUAAUAGUAAGCUAGAGAGAAUCACUCCGCCUUGCAGUCUGGCCCUUUCCACAGUCUGAGCAACAGAAGAUGCCUCUUGGAUUGCUCAUUCUGGGGGAAGCCAGCUGCCAUACUAGGAGACAGCACCCAGAGAGGCUCCUGUGAGAGCAUGGAAGCAAAUCCUGGGGAUGACUGUAGCUGAGCUGACACUUUGGUUGCAGGAUUGUGACAGACCCAGCCUAGCUGCUCCCAGACUCCUGACCCACAGAACUGGUGAGAUAAUAAAUACUCUUGUUUCCAGCUGAUAUGUUCCAGGGCAAUUUGUUACCCAGCCCUAGGUAACUAACACAGGUGUUAUGGUACUCACUUCACAUAUGAUAUCUUCUUUAUCUUCACAGCCACUGAAAAGGGUAGGACAUGAGAGGGUGGGGAGGGGCAGAGAGGGACAGAGAGAGGAUCCCAACCAGGCUCCAUGCUGUCAGUGCAGAGCCCGAUGGGGGGUCCGAUCCCCCGAACCACGCGAUCAUGACCCGAGUUGAAAUCAGGAGUUGGAUGCUCAACCAGCUGAGCCACCCAGGAGCUCAAAGGUAGGACAUGUUACCCAAUUUAUAAAUGAAACAGUGGAGGAUCAGAGAUGCUAAGUCCCUUGGCCACACACAGGGGUAUGGGGUGGAGCCCAAAUUUGAAUACAAAUCUUCCCACCUGCCAAGCUCAUCCUUUAGGGUCUAUUGCUUCUUCUGGGAAGCACAUCGGUUCUUUCAGUUUUUCAUUCAUUCAGUCAACCAAUUAACCCAUCAUUCAUGGAUUCAUCAUCCCAACAUUCGUUAAUCAUUUAUCCGCUCAACAAUGACGUGCUAGGUACGGCUCUGAGGAGUAAGAUUAACAAGAUUACUGCCCUCCCCAAGCUUCCAGCCCAGCAAAGAUAUGGAAAUAAUAAUUUCAUGCUAUGGUGAGCACUAUGGCUCACAUACAUGGUGUCGCAGGACAAAGAUCGGUGGGGGCAAAGGGAAGGUGGGUCAUUUGGAUUGGAAGGUCAGUGACAUCCAGACACCUGAAGGGUCAGAUCCAGCCAGCGAGGGGAAGGCUUUUAGAAAGAGUUGUCUGGGAGAAUGGCCUCCUCUCUCCUUCAUUUCCUAUUCCUUGGUUUUCCACUACAGCUUUACUGGUGCUUUUUUUUUUUUUUUUUUAAUGAAAUUUGUUGUCAAAUUGGUUUCCAUCCAACAGCCAGUGCUCAAACUACAACCCCCAACCUCAGAACCUGUCCUACCUGUCCAGGCUUAGAGCUGCUGUCUUCUCAGAGCAACAUUAUGUGCCUCUCUUAUGAGUUCAAAUAGUUCCUAUUUGCAUCAUCCCUUCAAGGCUGUUCCCUUUCUCUUGCAUGAAUUUGGAAAUAUUUACCCAAUUAAAACACCACAAUAUUUCCUCAAGCCUUGUUGUCUUUCCAUAUGUACCGGUUCCCCCUACCUCAUAUUGGGGCUGUCUCCUCAUU